ACCCAGUGCAAGAAGUCGACUCUGAUGAAUAGUCAGAAUAUCUGCCCGUUAUCUUUGUAUUUCUAUUUUCUGUUUAGUCUUUGAUAUCUGUAAUCGGGCUUCAUCCCAAUUUUGUAAUCGGACUUCGACCCAAUGUUGUAAUCGGGCUUCGGUCCAAUUUUGACUUAACAAAAUCAAAGACUUUUCACACUUUUUCUCGCA
rnacentral:lncRNA from 1 species